AAGGGCCCCCCUCUCAGAUGGGAGAAGGGCCCCAUACCCCCUGCAUUCUGGGCCAUGGGGCUUCAGGAGAGUCAGCAUAUGGACUGGAGGGAUGUCUGCGCUGUGGGGCAAAGGUGCAGUCAGAGAGGGAAUGGAAACUAUGCUUGUGUUGGUUCACCCACUCUGCUGUUGAGCUUUCCCAAGACGCUGGAUCCUCAGCACCUUUGUCUUCACCUCCUGAGUCUCCUUCAUCUACCUCCUGUCUCCCUUAGUCCAGCCAGUGAAACAGAAUGUAGGGAGGGUGCCAUUCCAGGAUGAGAUCUAGUGGAACAGGUCCCUGGGAGCCUCUUCUGGGACUCCUUAACCUUGGGAACCCUUCGCCCCUCUCUCUUGGGCCCCAGGUAAGGGUACCAGUUUCUUCCUGAGCCAUGACCAGAGCCAUUCCCAGAUAAAUGAGGUUUCCUGGAAGGAUGUUACCAGUGCCUUAUCUCUGGCCAACAUGGUGCUGGGGCUCUUCUCCAUCAUCUUCAGCUUCAGCAGGAAACGCCACUAUGCCUCCUGGAUGCUCCUGGUCAGCUUCCUGUUAGACAUGGCGGUCAGGGCAAUGACCAGCCACAUCAACAUCUGCUCCAAAUUGGGUGAGUUCAGGCCCCAGGUCCCUAAUCCUUGCCCCCAGUAGCAUCCAUCUGGGGUCACCCCUUCAUCCAUCCUCUAACAUCCCGCAGGCC
rnacentral:lncRNA from 1 species